rnacentral:tRNA from 1 species
GCCUGGGUGGCUCAGUCGGUUAAGUGUCUGACUUCUGCCCAGGUCUCACUGUUUGUGGGUUCAAGCCCCUCAUCGGGCU